UAUGUGAUCGUCUCUCGCAUAUCAAUAAGCGGAGGAAAAGAAACUAACAAGGAUUCCCCUAGUAACGGCGAGUGAAGCGGGAAGAGCUCAAAUUUGAAAUCUUAAAGGGUUUCCCUUUACGAAUUGUAGUUUAAAGAAGUGUUUUCUGUUGAGGUUUUGGUAAAAGUUCUUUGGAAUAGGACAUCAUAGAGGGUGAGAAUCCCGUAUUUGACCUUUACUUUCAACUUUGUGAUACACUUUCAAAGAGUCGGAUUGUUUGGGAAUGCAGUCCAAAAUGGGUGGUAAAUUUCAUCUAAAGCUAAAUAUUGGCGAGAGACCGAUAGCGAACAAGUACCGUGAGGGAAAGAUGAAAAGAACUUUGAAAAGAGAGUUAAACAGUACGUGAAAUUGUCAAAAGGGAAGCGUUUGACACCAGUGUUGUUUUUCUGAAAAUCAAUUAAAGAACUGUUUAUGCUAAGUUGUUUAGGACUUUAUCAGCUAACUGUUUAGUUUUGAGCUUUUCUUUAAUGCACUUUUCAGUUAACAAGUCAACAUCAAUUUCUUUUGCUGUAAAAAAGCUUGAGGAAGGUGGCUUGAGAUUCGUCUUAAGUGUUUAUAGCCUCUUGCCUAUGCAGUCGGAGAGAUUGAGGUCUGCAGCGUAGAUCCUUCGGGGCUAAAUGCAUUUGUGCUAAGUUAUAGCAUUUUAUAGACAACUUGUUGACUACGAUUUGUCUUGUAGCUUACUCGCUUAUGUUAUUUUACCUACGCUUAGGAUGUUGAUCUACAGAGCGAGAGU
rnacentral:rRNA from 1 species